UUAAAAAAAAACAAAAAACCAUAAACUUUAUUGCAAAAAGUCUUAAUAUAAGAGAGACGUUCGAAAAAAUGUUAAUAGCCGUGUUGCCAAAAAUAAAAAUGAUACUUAUUAUUACUUUGCUCCUAAUUUGUACCAAAACUCUUGCUGCUCCCACUUUACCACUACUGUUUCCACUCUUGUUUAAUUGGGGAGAUGAGCCUCGCCGUCGUAGGAAACAUAAAAAACGUAAAAAAGUCGAGCAUAUUUAUAUACAUAAAGUUCCACACGCGGAACCUACAAGAAUCAAUAUUCCUAGUGUCAAUGUGAAAGUUGGUCCGGUGAACGUGGACGCAAAAGUAAAUGCGAAUGUAAACGCGAACGUAAACGCGAAUGUAAAAGUAAACAAACCACCUCCUCCUCCACCGCCUCCCCCGAAAAAACCUCCUCCUCCGCCACCACCUCCACAGAAAAAGCCUCCUCCUCCACCACCACCUCCAGAGAAAAAGCCUCCUCCUCCACCACCACCCCCAGAGAAAAAGCCUCCUCCUCCACCACCACCCCCAGAGAAAAAGCCUCCUCCUCCACCACCUCCCAAGAAAAAGCCUCCUCCUCCACCACCACCUCCCAAGAAAAAGCCUCCUCCUCCACGGCGACCCUCAACAGAGCCUCCUCCUUAUACUCCUGUUGAAUGGUACCCUAUUGCAGGUACACCCAUUACACCCACGUGGCCUUCCAAGCCAGGUAGAGUAACAACUCCCUAUUAUCCAGUCCUCUGCCCGUCAAUAUGCGAAGAAGUUCCGUUACAAUAUGACUACAUAUUAUAAAAGUGUCACUAAUUUUGUUAAUGGAACCCGAAAGCUGUAUAAUUAAAAAAUGUAAGAUUUAAUUAUCAA